rnacentral:rRNA from 1 species
GUUGAACGCUGGCGGCAGGCCUAACACAUGCAAGUCGAGCGGAUAGAGGGAGCUCGCGCCUGGCUGCAGCGGCGGACGGGCGGGUAAUGCAUAGGAGUCUGACCUGCCUUGGGGGAUAACGUCAGGAAAGGGGCGCGGAUGCCGCAUACGUCCAGAGGUAGAACGGGGGGGAUCUUUGGACCUAGCGCUAUUUGCUGAGCCUAGGUCGGAUUAGCUAGUUGGUGAGGUAAGGGCCUACCAAGGCGACGAUCCGUAACUGGCCUGAGAGGGUGAUCAGUCACACUGGAACUGAGACACGGUCCAGACUCCUACGGGAGGCAGCAGUGGGGAAUAUUGCACAAUGGGCGAAAGCCUGACCCAGCCACGCCGCGUGUGUGAUGAAGGUCUUCGGAUUGUAAAGCACUUUUAGUUGGGAAGAAGAGCAGUAAGUUUAUCCAUUGCUGUCUUGACGUUACCUACAGAAUAAGCACCGGCUAACUUCGUG